rnacentral:lncRNA from 1 species
GAAGAGGGGCGGGGCCGCCCGCUCCAGAGGGACGGAAGCGGCGGGGCCGCCGGAUCCAGGGACAAUGGGGUGGGGCGGGCUUUCCCUGGGUGGGCGCAGCGGCUUCCUGGGUCCCCCUCACGCUCUGGGUCAGAGUUCCUUUACAGGCGGACCUGAGAGGCAACUCACCGACUCCUGCCCUGGACCCUCCUGCGCCACUGAACCCCCUGACCUGGGAGCCUCGGAACCUAGGGCUCAGGAGAUGAACCAGGACUUAUCCGAAGGUACCAAGUGAACUUCUAGGAAAAGUCCAAUUCUCAGAUGCUGGAUGUCUUCCAAAAAUGAAGCAAAUUAGUAACUUAGUAGCUGAGUCAACUAAUCCUGUUAGAUGGUCAACACUGGUUUUUUUAUUUUAAUAUUUUUAAGUGGCAACUCUAGUGUGUGAGAAAAUUAAUGUGACAGCUGAAUUUGUAGAAAGCUGCUUUGACUCUCUUGGGCCCCUUCAUAAGCCCUGGAACUAAAUAAAAGUCUAGUGAAUACAGACCAAGGAAUGACCACAUGAGAACACAGCAAGAAGGCAUCCACCUGCACGCCAGGAAGAGAGCCCUCACCUGCAACUGAAUUGGCUGACUUCUUGAUCUUGGACUUCCAGCCUCCAGAACUAAUGAUGUUGCAGCAUGUUCC